GUGGGUAGUUUGACUGGGGCGGUCUCCUCCUAAAGAGUAACGGAGGAGCACGAAGGUUGGCUAAUCCUGGUCGGACAUCAGGAGGUUAGUGCAAUGGCAUAAGCCAGCUUGACUGCGAGCGUGACGGCGCGAGCAGGUGCGAAAGCAGGUCAUAGUGAUCCGGUGGUUCUGAAUGGAAGGGCCAUCGCUCAACGGAUAAAAGGUACUCCGGGGAUAACAGGCUGAUACCGCCCAAGAGUUCAUAUCGACGGCGGUGUUUGGCACCUCGAUGUCGGCUCAUCACAUCCUGGGGCUGAAGUAGGUCCCAAGGGUAUGGCUGUUCGCCAUUUAAAGUGGUACGCGAGCUGGGUUUAGAACGUCGUGAGACAGUUCGGUCCCUAUCUGCCGUGGGCGCUGGAGAACUGAGGGGGGCUGCUCCUAGUACGAGAGGACCGGAGUGGACGCAUCACUGGUGUUCGGGUUGUCAUGCCAAUGGCACUGCCCGGUAGCUAAAUGCGGAAGAGAUAAGUGCUGAAAGCAUCUAAGCACGAAACUUGCCCCGAGAUGAGUUCUCCCUGAGACUUUAGGUCUCCUGAAGGAACGUUGAAGACGACGACGUUGAUAGGCCGGGUGUGUAAGCGCAGCGAUGCGUUGAGCUAACCGGUACUA
rnacentral:rRNA from 2 species